UACGUAUGGUGCAAGCGUUAUCCGGAUUUACUGGGCGUAAAGGGAGCGUAGACGGCAUGGCAAGUCAGAUGUGAAAGCCCGGGGCUCAACCCCGGGACUGCAUUUGAAACUGUCAGGCUGGAGUGCAGGAGAGGUAAGCGGAAUUCCUAGUGUAGCGGUGAAAUGCGUAGAUAUUAGGAGGAACACCAGUGGCGAAGGCGGCUUACUGGACUGUAACUGACGUUGAGGCUCGAAAGCGUGGGGAGCAAACAGG
rnacentral:rRNA from 1 species